AAUUCUCAAUCUUCACAGCCUUUGUGUUGUCUGAAGAUUGGAUGUGGGAGUUUAUGUGGGAUUUUUUUUGUAAAAGUUCUACUCUCCUAAAAUGCAUUAGCUGGAAUGCCUUUGCAAAGCCAACUAUCAGUGUGAUAAUUAUCUAUGCUGGAGUUGCUGCAUGAAGGGAAUCUGCUUCUUAACUGUCGUAUUGACAAUAUGAAUCA
rnacentral:misc_RNA from 1 species